AAGACUUUAAGUUAAAACAAACUAAAGGCCUUCAAAGCCCUCAAUGGACCUUCCAACCCAAGUCUUG
rnacentral:tRNA from 1 species